GUGAGGAAUAUUGGUCAAUGGGCGCAAGCCUGAACCAGCCAUGCCGCGUGCAGGAAGACGGUCCUAUGGAUUGUAAACUGCUUUUAUUUGGGAAUAAACUCCGGUACGUGUACCGGCCUGAAGGUACCAAAUGAAUAAGCACCGGCUAACUCCGUGCCAGCAGCCGCGGUAAUACGGAGGGUGCAAGCGUUAUCCGGAAUCAUUGGGUUUAAAGGGUCCGCAGGCGGUCUUAUAAGUCAUUGGUGAAAGCCUACAGCUCAACUGUAGAACUGCCAUUGAUACUGUAGGACUUGAAUUCGAUCGAAGUGGGCGGAAUGUGACAUGUAGCGGUGAAAUGCUUAGAUAUGUCACAGAACACCGAUAGCGAAGGCAGCUCACUAGGUCUGGAUUGACGCUCAGGGACGAAAGCGUGGGGAGCAAACAGGAUUAGAAACCCGGGUAGUCC
rnacentral:rRNA from 1 species